GAUCUUAUGUAAAAUGUAGUUGGAAACUGUCUUAAGUGUUUUAUAAAGAAUCCUUUUGUGAAACUAAUAGUUUUCCUCUAAUUUAGUUUUAUAACCAGGAUUUUAAUAUAUUAUAUAUGUGAAACAACUUCUUAGUAUUUUAGUAACCAUAUUUAAAUAUUUAGAUUGCUUUAAUUUCUUCUAGAAAUGAAAUAUUUUCAUAAAAUUUAGCUUCAGAACUAUGGUAGAAUUGAAACAGAAUUGUCUUGCUGUGUCUGUAGAUAGUUUCUAAUGGUGAUGAACAAUUGGAAAAAGCCAUGGAAGAGAUUUUGAGAGAUUCUGAGAAAAGGCAAAGCAGUCUUCUUGUUGAUUGUCAAAGUUCCAGUGAGAUUUCAGACCAUUCGUUUGGAGAUAUUCCAGCCAGCCAAACAAAUAAGCCAUCUCUUCAGUUAAUUUUGGAUCCGUCUAACACAGAAAUUUCUACACCCAGACCAUCUUCUCCAGGUGGACUACCUGAAGAAGAUAGUGUUUUAUUUAAUAAACUGACCUACUUAGGAUGUAUGAAGGUUUCCUCC
rnacentral:sRNA from 1 species